rnacentral:rRNA from 1 species
UACGAAGGGUGCAAGCGUUAAUCGGAAUUACUGGGCGUAAAGGGUGCGUAGGCGGUUGUUUAAGUCUGUCGUGAAAUUCCCGGGCUCAACCUGGGAAUGGCGAUGGAUACUGGGCAGCUAGAGUGUGUCAGAGGAUGGUGGAAUUCCCGGUGUAGCGGUGAAAUGCGUAGAGAUCGGGAGGAACAUCAGUGGCGAAGGCGGCCAUCUGGGACAACACUGACGCUGAAGCACGAAAGCGUGGGGAGCAAACAGG